rnacentral:rRNA from 1 species
AAUAGAUACCCACGGUAGUCCACGCCGUAAACGAUGAGUGCUAAGUGUUAGAGGGUUUCCGCCCUUUAGUGCUGCAGCUAACGCAUUAAGCACUCCGCCUGGGGAGUACGGCCGCAAGGCUGAAACUCAAAGGAAUUGACGGGGGCCCGCACAAGCGGUGGAGCAUGUGGUUUAAUUCGAAGCAACGCGAAGAACCUUACCAGGUCUUGACAUCCUCUGCCAACCCUAGAGAUAGGGCGUUCCCCUUCGGGGGACAGAGUGACAGGUGGUGCAUGGUUGUCGUCAGCUCGUGUCGUGAGAUGUUGGGUUAAGUCCCGCAACGAGCGCAACCCUUGAUCUUAGUUGCCAGCAUUCAGUUGGGCACUCUAAGGUGACUGCCGGUGACAAACCGGAGGAAGGUGGGGAUGACGUCAAAUCAUCAUGCCCCUUAUGACCUGGGCUACACACGUGCUACAAUGGAUGGUACAAAGAGUUGCGAACCCGCGAGGGUAAGCCAAUCUCAUAAAGCCAUUCUCAGUUCGGA